GGGAGAAAUGCGAUAUGACAUGGCGGUUUUCUGAAGUAAAAGACUAUACAGAAGCAUCUUGGGAAGUGUGAACUUCAGAGGAAAGUUAAAAAAGGUAUGUUCAGGAAGGAGUCGCAUGUAGCAUGUCUGGCCGAGUCGCACUUGGCAUGUUCAGGAGAGCCGCACAUGGCGUGUUCAGUCAAGCCUUGUUGGGCAAGUUUGAGCAAGUUGCGUGCAUCGUGUUCGAGCAUGACUGGCAAGCCAAGUUUGAGUGAGUUCCGUAUUUCAUGUCCGGGCAUGUUGCAUGCGGCAUGUUCGGCGAGUUGUGCGUGACGUGUCCGAAUGAGUCAAGUGCGACAUGUUCAAGCGAGUCGACUGAAACGUGUUUGAGCUGGAUUUGUGAGGUGCGGCGUGUUAUGGGUAGUCGUGUGGCAGGGCAUGCUCAGGGGAGUUCUGCGCAUCGUGUUCGGAGAAGUUGCAACUAUUUGUGGACGGGCGGACGGACGGAUGGAUGGACGGACGGACAGAUGGAGGACACACCAUCCCAUAAGUUCCCCGGAACUACGUUGAGGUGGAUGGUUGAUGCUUCACUGGCGUGUCCAUUUUGAUCGUGAUGAAAAACGUAUUACGACCCUUUAUCAUAAAUGGUCGUAAAGCACCCUUUUGCGACCCUUGAUGAACAACGUUGUUUUGAACACACAGCUCUUACGCAUACAGAGUGGAGAGCCAGGAAGCUUCUUCGACCCAAUCAAGAAGAAGAAACUCAAGACCAUGGAGACUUGCAACAAGAAGGUCACCCUCACAUCCUCACAGGGAAAGGUCAUACAGUUUCAAGAACAAAGCAACCUUGCAUUCAUGCUCCUCGUCAAGUCUCAGAGUCAACAUGAGCCAUUGGACUUGGAAGAACUCAUGAAGUACUGCCUGAUGCCUGUGCCUCCCAGCCUUGGAACACCGGAUGGAUUUUUCUCCAAGACCAACAAAGCCUCUAUGCUGCACUACCUUCGAGAGGACACCACCCCAGAAGAUCUGCCAUACCCCAAGGAUGCCCUGUUCAUCCAGGAUGGCAUGGCACUGUUACAUACCCUUGCCAAGAAGCACUUCUUGUUCUCGACUGACAGUUACCACCCGGAAUCUAUCAAAGCGCAGGAGAGGUUGAGGCGUGGCAGCUCAGAGAUCAUUUUAGCUGGACCAGUGACCAGGAAGUGAUUCAUAUGACUUCAAGAUGUUCCUUGCAAAUGACGACAACAAAAAGCAGAUCUGCCAGCUCCUGCUGUGAGUAUGGAGUGACCAACAGGCAGCUUCAAAGCUGGAGAGAACAGAGAUGGCAGUGCUGAUCAUGGAGGGGAGAGCCCCACCA
rnacentral:lncRNA from 1 species